GCACCACAAGGGGUGAAGCCUGCGGUUCAAUUGGACUCAACGCCGGGAAACUUACCAGGGGAGACAGCAGUAUGACGGUCAGGUUGACGACCUUACCCGACGAGCUGAGAGGAGGUGCAUGGCCGUCGCCAGUUCGUGCCGUGAGGUAUCCUGUUAAGUCAGGCAACGAACGAGAUCCGCACCUUUAUUUGCCAACAAGAAGUCACGACUUCGUUGGGAACACUAAAGGGACCGCCGUCGAUAAGACGGAGGAAGGAGCGGGCAAAGGCAGGUCAGUAUGCCCCGAAACCCCUGGGCUACACGCGGGCUGCAAUGGUAUGAACAAUGGGCUGUGACUCCGAAAGGAGAAACCAAUCCCGAAAUCAUAUCUCAGUUGGAAUUGGCGGCGGUAACCCGCCGACAUGAACGCGGAAUCCCUAGUAAUCGUGUGUCAUCAUCGCACGGUGAAUACGUCUCUGCUCCUUGCACACACCGCCCGUCGCUCCAUCCGAGUGUGCUAAAAAUGAGGUUUGGUCAAUCUGGUCAUAUCGAGUUUCUAGUAUGCGAGGAGGGAG
rnacentral:rRNA from 1 species